CGGCAGAUCUGUUAAUUGUUGUGACAAAUGCUGAAACCGUUACAGAUUAUAUUUGCGGCAACAAUUAUCUAAAUAUUUAGGUAUGCAAUUACCUCAAAAAUUUACUUAAUGGACACAAAUGUGUUAUUAGAAAAUUUGUACUAUCUGUUCAGUAUUUUGCAGUAAAUGUGCUUAUCAUAUCAAACCUGUUUUCGAAAAGGGGGACA
rnacentral:lncRNA from 1 species